rnacentral:rRNA from 1 species
CAGCCGCCGCGGUAAUACCGGCGGCCCGAGUGGCGGUCACUAUUAUUGGGCUUAAAGCGUCCGUAGCCGGGUUGGGAAGUCCUCCGGGAAAUCUGGCCGCUUAACGGUCAGAAUGCCGGAGGAUACUCCCAGCCUAGGGAGCGGGAGAGGCCGAGGGGAUUCCCGGGGUAGGGGGGAAAUCCUAUAAUCCCGGGAGGACCACCUGUGGCGAAGGCGCUCGGCUGGAACGCGUCCGACGGUGAGGGACGAAGGCCAGGGGAGCAAACCGGAUUAGAUACCCGGGUAGUCCUGGCUGUAAACGAUGCGGACUUUGUGUCGGACAAGCUAUGAGCUUGUCCGGUGCCGGAGGGAAACCGUUAAGUCCGCCGCCUGGGGAGUACGGCCGCAAGGCUGAAACUUAAAGGAAUUGGCGGG